UGGUUCUGGCAUNGAUGAAGAACGCAGCGAAAUGCGAUAAGUAAUGUGAAUUGCAGAAUUCAGUGAAUCAUCGAAUCUUUGAACGCACAUUGCGCCCUCUGGCAUUCCGGGGGGCAUGCCUGUUCGAGCGUCAUUACAACCCUCAAGCUCUGCUUGGUAUUGGGCAUCACCUCCCUGGUGUGCCUUAAAGUUAGUGGCGGCGCCGUCUGGCUUCGGGUGCAGUAGAACUUCUCGCCAUGGAGCCCGGCUGCGUGCUCGCCAGAACACUUCGCACUGGUUGACCUCGGAUCAGGUAGGGAUACCCGCUGA
rnacentral:misc_RNA from 1 species